GGGUUCUACCGUCGGUCGGGCUACCAAGUCUGUACUGGUGUGUAGAAUUUCUACCUUCUGGGGAACCAUCAUGUUAUUAAUUUAGCGUGGUGGGAAACCAGGACCUUUACCUUGAAAAAAUUAGAGUGUUCAAAGCAGGCGCACGCUUGCAUAGAUUAGCAUGGAAUAAUGGAAUAGGACCUGUGGUCUUGUUUUGUUGGUUUCUGAAUCACCGUAAUGAUUAAUAGGGAUAGUUG
rnacentral:rRNA from 1 species